GGCCGCGUAGCGCAAUGGCAGCGCGAUGGACUUCGAAUCCAUAGGUUGCUUGUUCGAGUCAAGUCGCGGUCG